AACGAACGCUGGCGGCAUGCCUAACACAUGCAAGUCGAACGAACCCUUCGGGGUGAGUGGCGCACGGGUGCGUAACACGUGGGAACCUGCCCUUAGGUUCGGAAUAACAGUUAGAAAUGACUGCUAAUACCGGAUAAUGUCUUCGGACCAAAGAUUUAUCGCCUUUGGAUGGGCCCGUGUAGGAUUAGCUAGUUGGUGAGGUAAAGGCUCACCAAGGCGACGAUCCUUAGCUGGUCUUAGAGGAUGAUCAGCCACACUGGGACUGAGACACGGCCCAGACUCCUACGGGAGGCAGCAGUGGGGAAUAUUGGACAAUGGGCGAAAGCCUGAUCCAGCAAUGCCGCGUGAGUGAUGAAGGCCUUAGGGUUGUAAAGCUCUUUUACCUGGGAUGAUAAUGACAGUACCAGGAGAAUAAGCUCCGGCUAACUCCGUGCCAGCCGCCGCCGAAA
rnacentral:rRNA from 1 species